rnacentral:rRNA from 1 species
GACGAACGCUGGCGGCGCGCUUAACACAUGCAAGUCGAGCGAGAACCGGGGCUUCGGCCCCGGGGACAGCGGCGAACGGGUGAGUAACACGUGGGUAACCUGCCCUCGGCACCGGGAUAGCCCGGGGAAACUCGGAUUAAUACCGGGAUGGCCCCUCCGACCUUCGGGUCGGCUGGGAAAAGGUAGCUUCGGCUUCCGGCCGAUGAUGGGCCCGCGGCGGAUUAGCUUGUUGGUGGGGUAACGGCCCACCAAGGCUCCGAUCCGUAGCUGGUCUGAGAGGACGAUCAGCCACACUGGGACUGAGACACGGCCCAGACUCCUACGGGAGGCAGCAGUGGGGAAUCUUGCGCAAUGGGCGAAAGCCUGACGCAGCGACGCCGCGUGAGGGAAG